rnacentral:rRNA from 1 species
AUGUGUGGCCACACGAGGAAGGAUCGAGUCCGGAAUGAUGAUAUACGAGAUAGAGUUGGGGUAGCACCAAUUGAGGAGAAGCUUGUCCAACAUCGUUUGAGAUGGUUUGGACAUAUUCAGCGCAGGCCUCCAGAAGCCCCAGUGCAUAGCGGACGGCUAAAGCGUGCGGAGAAUGUCAAGAGAGGGCGGGGGCGACCGAUUUUGACAUGGGAGGAGUCCGUUAAGAGAGACCUGAAGGAUUGGAGUAUCGACAAAGAGCUAGCUAUGGACAGGGGUGCGUGGAAGCUUGCUAUCCAUGUGCCAGAGCCAUGA